rnacentral:lncRNA from 1 species
CUGGUGGUUACAGUGUUCCCCGUGUCAAGGUGAAGUAGGGGCCUGGUGGUUACAGUGUUCCCUGUGUCAUGGUGAAGUGGGGGCCUGGUGGUUACAGUGUUCCCCGUGUCAUGGUGAAGUGGGGGCAUGGUGGUUACAGUGUUCCCUGUGUCAUGGUGAAGUGGGAGCCUGGUGGUUACAGUGUUCCCUGUGUCAAGGUGAAGUGGGAGCCUGGUGGUUGCAGUGUUCCCUGUGUCAAGGUGAAGUGGGGGCCUGGUGGUUGCAGUGUUCCCCGUGUCAAGGUGAAGUGGGAGCCUGGUGGUUGCAGUGUUCCCUGUGUCAAGGUGAAGUAGGGGCCUGGUGGUUACAGUGUUCCCCGUGUCAAGGUGAAGUAGGGGCCUGGUGGUUACAGUGUUCCCUGUGUCAAGGUGAAGUGGGGGCCUGGUGGUUACAGUGUUCCCUGUGUCAAGGUGAAGUGGGGGCCUGGUGGUUACAGUGUUCCCGUGUCAAGGUGAAGUAGGGGCCCUGGUGGUUACAGUGUUCUCUGUGUCACGGUGAAGUGGGGCCUGGUGGUUACAGUGUUCCCUGUGUCAAGGUGAAGUAGGGGCCUGGUGGUUACAGUGUUCCCUGUGUCAAGGUGAAGUGGGAGCCUGGUGGUUACAGUGUUCCCUGUGUCAAAGUGAAGUAGGGGCCCUGGUGGUUACAGUGUUCUCUGUGUCACGGUGAAGUAGGGGCCUGGUGGUUACAGUGUUCCCCGUGUCAAAGAAGAUCACAGUUCAGUUCUCAUUACAUUAUUAAAUUUCCAGAUCUGAACAAAUAUUUGCAAAUACAGAAUUACAGCUGAUCGUUCACUGUCCUUCGUGUCACCUCCUGUUGGAGGACGAUAGUAUUUAUGUGCAGACCUACAGCAAUUCCAGGGUAGGAAACACUGCACAGUUCUUUAUCCAUCGUAAUGAGAUGUACACUGGACACAAAACAUACACACAAUAUACUUGAGUUGUGUGUCUGUUUUUGUUUAUCACCAGCUGUCACUCACAGGACUCAGUCCAGCAACCUAUGUGCCCUAUGAAAACAAAUGUGCAAUAUGUAAGUCAGAACCAAAAGUGCAUUCAGAUUGUAGGAGAUUUCUUCAUUUUCGUUUUUAGCUCACUUCACGAGAAGUCACGUGAGCUUAUGUUGUGGUGCUGUGGCGUCGGUAUAUAUAUUAGACGUUUAAGAAAUUGCUAUGAUCUGAGUUGAGGUUAACCUCGACAAUCUGUACACAACUUUCCAUAGUUUCUUGGGGGUUUUGAAACUGAGAGUUUGUCUCUCAGAAAUUUCGUGCCAUUGUGGAAUUAUUUGGCACAAUUCUUGGUCAGUGCUGAAUUUGACAUUUUAAACACUGUGUUUUCAGGCACAUUUUACAUAUAUUUGCAUAUAUUUGCCUAUAUUAUAACAUUUCAUUGUACACAGGUAAGGCAGAGAGCCUUGUGGACCCUACCUUUACAUUGAUUGUGGCACAUGAAGCCUAUAUAUGUUAUACACCAUGCACAACUGGAUUGUUAGUGGUUUUAUUUUUUACACUUUGUCUAGUCUGUGUUUAUUGUACUGAAACAGACAGUAACAUUUAUACACAAACCGCCCUCACUGGUCAAGCCUUGUUCACAUCUUUUUUAUUUUGGUCUGUAUUGUUACCCUGUUUUUGCAAUUAAAUCAUUAGAUAUA